CCGGGUUGCGGACAGUGUCUGGUGGGUAGUUUGACUGGGGCGGUCUCCUCCUAAAGAGUAACGGAGGAGCACGAAGGUUGGCUAAUCCUGGUCGGACAUCAGGAGGUUAGUGCAAUGGCAUAAGCCAGCUUGACUGCGAGCGUGACGGCGCGAGCAGGUGCGAAAGCAGGUCAUAGUGAUCCGGUGGUUCUGAAUGGAAGGGCCAUCGCUCAACGGAUAAAAGGUACUCCGGGGAUAACAGGCUGAUACCGCCCAAGAGUUCAUAUCGACGGCGGUGUUUGGCACCUCGAUGUCGGCUCAUCACAUCCUGGGGCUGAAGUAGGUCCCAAGGGUAUGGCUGUUCGCCAUUUAAAGUGGUACGCGAGCUGGGUUUAGAACGUCGUGAGACAGUUCGGUCCCUAUCUGCCGUGGGCGCUGGAGAACUGAGGGGGGCUGCUCCUAGUACGAGAGGACCGGAGUGGACGCAUCACUGGUGUUCGGGUUGUCAUGCCAAUGGCACU
rnacentral:rRNA from 3 species